rnacentral:rRNA from 1 species
UACAGGGGGGGCAAGCGUUGUUCGGAAUUACUGGGCGUAAAGGGCUCGUAGGUGGCCAACUAAGUCAGACGUGAAAUCCCUCAGCUUAACUGGGGAACUGCGUCUGAUACUGGAAGGCUUGAAUCCGGGAGAGGGAUGCGGAAUUCCAGGUGUAGCGGUGAAAUGCGUAGAUAUCUGGAGGAACACCGGUGGCGAAGGCGGCAUCCUGGACCGGCAUUGACGCUGAGGCGCGAAAGCCAGGGGAGCAAACGGG